rnacentral:rRNA from 1 species
UACGUAGGGUGCAAGCGUUGUCCGGAAUUAUUGGGCGUAAAGAGCUCGUAGGCGGUUUGUUGCGUCGGCUGUGAAAUCCCGAGGCUCAACCUCGGGUCUGCAGUCGAUACGAGCAAACUAGAGUGUUGCAGGGGAGACUGGAAUUCCUGGUGUAGCGGUGAAAUGCGCAGAUAUCAGGAGGAACACCGGUGGCGAAGGCGGGUCUCUGGGUAACAACUGACGCUGAGGAGCGAAAGCGUGGGGAGCGAACAGG